GCAGACUGGUCUUUAAUUGGCACAGCCUCUACCCAUUUAGUGAACCAAUCACUUAUUACUAGGAUAUACUUAAAACCAUCUUUGGUUUCAGGAAGUGGUCCAGUAACAUCCACGCAGACCUUCUCCAUUGCAUUGUAUACUGGAUUUUGCCCUAGUGGAGCCCUGACCUUGGGUGCUGGUUUCCGAGCAGCACAAACAUCACAUUGGUGGAUGUACUUUUGAAGGUCAUCUUUCAACGCUGGCCAAUAACAACACUGCAGAAUACGAAAGAGGCAUUUUUCUAAACCAAGGUGGCCCGCUGAAGUCUGGAUUACACCCGAGACGAGCUGCACAGGCUGAUUUUGAGCGACUGGUUCAACUAAGGCUACUGGUGACAAGUGUUCCUGACUAGGGAUUUUUACAGACACCCACAUGCUGCUAUGUGCCGUUGAGUUGCUUGAUGGCUGCUGCUGGGCCUUUUUUGUUGCCAUCAACGAAGACCCUACUGGGUUGACGGCCUGCCGUUUUCCGGUAAACCUACGACAGUCGGCUGUGUGUACGGUGCCUGGUGAGGUGCUGGAUA